GCCUCAAUUUCUUUUAAAAAAAGAUAAAACUGUCUCUCUUUCUAUUUUCCGGAUCCUUCUCCACACCUCCUUUACCUGUUGCUGCCCACCGCCUUUAUUUUGGUUCGGUCUAUUUCACCUUAGUGGGUUUGAGGCUUUGAUAUUCCUUCACCGGCGACCUCUCUCACCAUCGUUGUACUUUCGUUUACUCCUUACCGUCGGCAGCUGUUGUCCACCGCCAUGUCUCCCGCCCAGGAUCCGACGCGGGUCUCACCUCUCUUUCUCAAUACCCACACAUCUUCUCCGUCAAAGUAUGUCCGAAAUCCGAAAUUUGAGACGACUUUUUCUUUAAUGGUCUCCCACCUACAUUCUCCGAUUCUUUCUUUGUUGCCCUCCUGAUCUUCAUCUUCUCUGUCUCUCGGUAAACCCUUAAAGCCACCUCACCCGUCCAUUAACCCUAGGACCCUUCAUAUUAGACACGGAGAAAAAUCAGCAGCGUCGGUAGCACCAGUCGUAACCAUCACCACCACAACUCAUCAGCAAGUUCAGUAAUUCAUCACCUUCUUGUGAUUUUUUAUUUUAUUUUUUUUAUUAUUAUUUUAUUUUGAUUUCUUUCAGUUGAGGCCGAAUCCUGUUUCUUAUAAGAUUCAGGCUCUAGAGGCUUUUGCAUCUUCGCUUCGGCUAAGACAUAGGAUACCCUACAGCUUUGCUUGCUACACAUCCAUUGCUUUCAACAGCUCUCUCUACCCUAACUUCUUACGUGCUUUCAGAGGCAGCUGUGAGUGGUAAUGUUGGAAAUCAGGCCCUCUUUUGUCAACUGCAAAACAAAGAUUCGGCCUUCUUUUGUUACGUGAGGAAUAUGUUGAAGAAGAAGAAAUAAUUGUGACUCAAACGGCUGCUCAUCUUAUUCAGAAGAUAAAAAGCUUUUUAUAGCCUACAUACCCUAAUGAAACCUAAACAAACUAAACUCAACUAAAGGAGAACAAGCCCACGUUUUUCCCCUUUUCCAGCUCCUAAUACUUGGUCCAUAUGACCCAUUCAAUUGAAGACCCAAAGUAUUCAUUUUACUAAAUAACAAAGACUAACAUACUAAUUAAAUAAACCUGUCAAGAUUAAAUAAAACCGAACAGGUAAUAUAUAUUAUUUGUUGUGAUCAGUUGUUAAUUUAUAAUGUAAUUUCAUUGUUCCCUAUUGUCUAUAUGCAGUGAUUUCUGAAUUGAUACUCACAACUUACAUAUUCUUCAAACGUAAUUUUUCCAAACUCUUUUAGUUUCAGUUUAACAUACAAGCUGAUGGAUCUUUUUAGAAGCUUCUGUUUUCAAUAUAAAUAAAAGAGAUACCACUGUGUAUUCAACCUGUAUGUUGCUUUAUUUUAGGGUUUUAUGAGGUUCAGUAAAAUUUGUUAGUAUAUAGUUGUUCUGCUGUAACUAUGCUGAAUUUGGAAUGUAAUGUGAUUAAUAAUUGAGAAAAUUUGUUAGUAUAUAGUUGUUCUGUUGUGGGGUCGUUUUGGAACAUACUAGAGCCUUUGUUGAGAGUGACAAUUGUUUCACUUGGAGGUCACAAAGAUGACAUAUGCUUAAGUUGAUGUUUAUGGGUUUAGUUAGAAAGUUGGUCUGCUGCCAAUCACUCAAAUGGAAGAUAGAAUGGAAAUAAGCAAGUUGUACAACAGCAAAACAGGGGAAAUCAUGAUACAGAGGUCAGGGAGUGAGUAAACAAGGCCUAUGAACGCGCAGUCUCACUUGUGGAAGAACCUAUACACAACAUGAGCCCGUUACUGGUCACGCGAAUGGACUCAGCGAGUCAAUCGAUUCGUGUCCUCAAAGUAAAUAUUUAAAAUAAGUUCACACUAGAGAGUCAUCAUGUGGAACGAAUUCAAACAAGGAUAAAACAGAUGGGGGAAAAUGGUCCUGUGGGGGCCACAACGCCCCUUCAGAGUCCAAAUUCUUCAAUUCCAUCAACUCCCCGAAGAGGAAGAAAAGUACCCAAUUCCACACCCGUGGAACAUGACAAGUGACGGGAUCCAAAAGAGUUGACCGAGCAAGAAGUCAACUUACAACAUGGAAGGAGCCUUUAUAGCUAGGGGUACAACUUGGAAAGAUAGACAUUGCGGCUUGGGCAAAUAAAGAGGACACGAACAAGAAAGCGAUGGAGGGCGAAACGAACAUUUUGGCCGAGGAGGCGUUUAGAGUUGAGUUUGAGAAACGGGUGGUUAGGUGAGAAGAUGCCGAGAAUCUAAAUUUAAUGCAAGAUUUAUACACAAAGUGAUUAAAAUUCAAGCGAUUUAUACACAAAGUGAUUAAAAUUCAAGCAUGGGAAAGACACCGGAAAGCAAAACUUGUAGCAUAAAUGAGAAGAAUAGAGGUUAAAGUGGAAUAAAAGAGGGCACAUGCACAAGCAAAAAUGUUGAAGAAGGUUGCAAUGUCGAGUCAGAAAUCGGAAAGGAAAAGGGCGACAGCGGAAGCCGAAAAGAGCUGGCAGGCGGCACGGGUGGCGGCAAAGGCGGAAUACGAUUCCACCAUCAUCAACGCACAACUGCGUGGUUAACCACCAGCACAGAUACUCUGUGAGAAAAUAAUGUCAAUGGAGAUGUUGUUCCAGAUUCCACACAGUCAAUUCCACUCCAAUCUUAUGUAUAGAAUUAAAUUACAUUGCAAUCCAUAAAAUCCUUUCUAUCAAUUUAAACAUUAAAAUUAUUCAAA